GACGGAGGGGGCUAGCGUUGUUCGGAAUUAUUGGGCGUAAAGCGCGCGUAGGCGGCUACUUAUGUCGGAUGUGAAAGCCCUUGGCUCAACUGAGGAAGUGCACCCGAAACUGAGUAGCUGGAGUACGAUAGAGGGUCGCGGAAUUCCCGGUGUAGAGGUGAAAUUCGUAGAUAUCGGGAGGAACACCGGUGGCGAAGGCGGCGACCUGGGGUCGAUACUGACGCUGAGGCGCGAAAAGCGUGGGGGAGCAAACAGG
rnacentral:rRNA from 1 species